CCUGGAUGUUAUCUGAACCCAAUAAUUACGGGGGAGUUGAAUUUUGUGGGCAACUGACUUUGCCAAAUGAGCAGUGGGCUGAUGCGUCAUGUUCAAAGACACUCAGAUUUGUCUGUGGCACUGCAAAGAAGAUUCAAAUACUGAGAAUAAACAUACAGUCAGCGCUGAACCUUUAUGUCAGUGAUUUCAACAGCACCAUUUUACAGCAGUUGCAGCAAAAGCUGAGGAACCUGGGACUGCCGAGUAACACCAAACUGACAUGGAGGACACAACCUGAUGGACAAAUAUUUCACAUCCUGAACAAAGCAAAACCGUAACAUGGCUGUUUGUCAGAAGAAUAGCUCAGAAUGUGUUUAAAUUAAUUGGUAAGGCUUGU